AUUGAACGCUGGCGGCAUGCCUUACACAUGCAAGUCGAACGGCAGCGGACCUUCGGGUGCCGGCGAGUGGCGAACGGGUGAGUAAUAUAUCGGAACGUACCUUUCAGUGGAGGAUAACGUAGCGAAAGUUACGCUAAUACCGCAUAUUCUGUGAGCAGGAAAGCAGGGGAUCGCAAGACCUUGCGCUGAUUGAGCGGCCGAUAUCAGAUUAGCUAGUUGGUGAGGUAAAGGCUCACCAAGGCGACGAUCUGUAGCGGGUCUGAGAGGAUGAUCCGCCACACUGGAACUGAGACACGGUCCAGACUCCUACGGGAGGCAGCAGUGGGGAAUUUUGGACAAUGGGCGCAAGCCUGAUCCAGCCAUGCCGCGUGAGUGAAGAAGGCCUCGGUUGUAAGUACUCUUUCGGUCCGGGAGGAAAGUACGCGACAGGUUAAUACCCUAGUGUGGA
rnacentral:rRNA from 1 species